rnacentral:rRNA from 1 species
GCUCAGGAUGAACNCUAGCUACAGGCUUACACAUGCAAGUCGAGGGGCAGCAUGGUCUUAGCUUGCUAAGGCCGAUGGCGACCGGCGCACGGGUGAGUAACACGUAUCCAACCUGCCGUCUACUCUUGGACAGCCUUCUGAAAGGAAGAUUAAUACAAGAUGGCAUCAUGAGUCCGCAUGUUCACAUGAUUAAAGGUAUUCCGGUAGACGAUGGGGAUGCGUUCCAUUAGAUAGUAGGCGGGGUAACGGCCCACCUAGUCUUCGAUGGAUAGGGGUUCUGAGAGGAAGGUCCCCCACAUUGGAACUGAGACACGGUCCAAACUCCUACGGGAGGCAGCAGUGAGGAAUAUUGGUCAAUGGGCGAGAGCCUGAACCAGCCAAGUAGCGUGAAGGAUGACUGCCCUAUGGGUUGUAAACUUCUUUUAUAAAGGAAUAAAGUCGGGUAUGGAUACCCGUUUGCAUGUACUUUAUGAAUAAGGAUCGGCUAACUCCGUGCCAGCAGCCGCGGUAAUACGGAGGAUCCGAGCGUUAUCCGGAUUUAUUGGGUUUAAAGGGAGCGUAGAUGGAUGUUUAAGUCAGUUGUGAAAGUUUGCGGCUCAACCGUAAAAUUGCAGUUGAUACUGGAUAUCUUGAGUGCAGUUGAGGCAGGCGGAAUUCGUGGUGUAGCGGUGAAAUGCUUAGAUAUCACGAAGAACUCCGAUUGCGAAGGCAGCCUGCUAAGCUGCAACUGACAUUGAGGCUCGAAAGUGUGGGUAUCAACAGGAUAAU